AUGGAGUCCGCCGGCUACUACACCAACUGCAAGAAGACCGACGGAAUCUGCGAGGGCAUCUGCGACGGCGAGCAUGGUUCAAAGGCUGUUCUGAGCAUGUCAAGGCUGAAGUGUGCACUUCGGGGGUUUGAUUUAAAGGCCCUUCUGUUCCUGCUGAUUGGUGUGCCGAUUAUAAUCUUUGUCAUAUAUGUUCAUGGCCAGAAGGUCACUUAUUUCCUCAGACCAAUCUGGGAGAAGCCCCCGAAGCCUUUCACAGUACUUCCUCACUACUAUCAUGAAAAUGCUUCGAUGGCAAACCUCUGCAAGUUGCAUGGAUGGAAGGUCCGGGAGGCUCCACGGCGUGUCUUUGACGCGGUGCUUUUCAGCAACGAGCUCGACAUUCUUGAUAUCCGUUGGCACGAGCUUAGCCCGUAUGUGUCAGAAUUUGUGCUGCUCGAGUCCAAUUCAACAUUUACUGGCCUUGAAAAGAAGCUCCACUUCAAGGAAAACCGCCAAAAGUUUGAGUUUGCUGAAUCACGGUUGACCUAUGGUAUGAUAGGCGGAAGGUUUGUGAAGGGGGAGAACCCAUUUGUGGAGGAAUCCUAUCAGAGAGUCGCGCUUGACCAGCUUCUAAAGAUCGCCGGAAUCACCGACGAUGACCUGUUGAUUAUGUCGGAUGUUGAUGAGAUCCCAAGUGGCCAUACAAUCAACCUGUUGAGAUGGUGCGAUGAUACGCCCGAGAUACUUCACCUUCAGCUGAAGAACUAUCUCUACUCAUUUCAAUUUAUGCUUGAUGAUAAGAGUUGGAGGGCUUCGGUACACAGAUACCGAGCGGGGAAGACGAGGUAUGCCCAUUACCGGCAGACUGAUGACCUUCUGGCGGACUCGGGGUGGCACUGCAGCUUUUGCUUUCGGUACAUAAAUGAUUUUGUCUUCAAAAUGAAAGCCUACAGCCAUGUGGACCGGAUCAGAUUCAGCUACUUCUUGAACCCCAAAAGAAUUCAGCAUGUGAUAUGCCAAGGGGCUGAUCUCUUUGAUAUGCUUCCGGAGGAGUACACGUUCCAAGAGAUCAUCGCCAAGCUUGGGCCGAUCCCAAGUACGUAUUCGGCGGUUCAUCUUCCCGCCUAUCUGCUCGAGAAGGUUGAUCAGUACAGGUAUCUUCUUCCUGGCAACUGCAUGAGAGAAAGUGGGUAG
rnacentral:rRNA from 1 species